rnacentral:lncRNA from 1 species
UAAUAUUUACAAAGAUAAGUGGGCUCGUACUUAGCCCAUGGGUCCGAAAUCUACCCUAAGGCUCAUAAGAACCCUAGGGCCUUCUCUUGCAUCUCUAGCCCAAUCUCCUUGGAGUUUUCUAUCCAAUACCCUUGCGGGGUAGGAUUGCAUCAUUCCCUCCCCCUUGAAAAGGAUUUGACCUCAAAUCUCGAGGUUCUUGAAACUCUGGGCUUUUUUCCUCAACACCUGUAAAAAGAACAAAAACAUAUGUAUUAGUGGUGUUUAGUAUGUUGAAGUAAGGUAAGGUCUGAAAACUCAUUUCCUGGGCAUCUUCCCAUGAAGGAACAUGGUUCCUCACCAACUCAAUGAGUGGUGCUACAAUUAUAGAAAAAUAUGGGGCAAACCUUUUGUAAAAGUUUGUUAAGUCUUGGAAGCCCCAAAUUUUUCUUACACUUGGUGGAGCGGGCCACUCAGGAAUGACCUUUAUUCUCUUAGGGUUCAUGGGAACCCCUUGAUCACAUUUUAAAAAAUUAAGAAAAGUAAAGCAAUAAAACAUACAUUUUUCUGUAUUUUCAUGUUGAUUAUUCCUACCAAAAAGUAUGACAAACCUAAGGUGUCCCAUAUGAGUGCCUAAGUUUGUAUUGAAACUAAAAAUAAGAACAAACCUACCCAAUGAGUCCCUAUGUACACAAAUCAUGAAGAUUUUGGGUGCACGAGUGAUUUUACAAAAGAGUGUUGCACGACCCAAAGCAUUCAUCACACCACCUAUUUUAGGGAUUUGGUGCCUAAUAAUACCUAUUUUGGGCACCAACAAAGCACAAGGAUUUAAGCUCUUGCGAAACAAACCCUCAUCCAACAACUCCUUUACUUGAGGAAUAAACUCAAGCCUAAAAGGUGUGGCAAUGCUAACAAGUGUCUUUUUACAAUGGAGAAAAUGUGGAGGUUGUCUAAGAGGGGAAAUUUCUUUAUUAUUUGUCUUUAUUUCAAAAUGUCUUUCCUUCUUAGCUAACCUCUUGGAGGAGACACUUACCUCCUCACACUCCUCCUUAACCAUUAAAGGUUGUCCUUCCUCUUGGGGGUAGAUCUCUUCACUAGAUUCUUCCCCUUUUGCUUCUUCACUUUUACUAGAGGAAGGUGAAGUAGUAGCCUCAUCUUGGCUACUAUAAAUGUCUUGGCCCCUCAUAAUUAUGGUUUUCUUGGUGGGGCAUUGAGAAGUAAUGUGUCCUCUUCCAAGACAUUUAAAGCACUUCAUGGAGCUAGUCUUCUCUUGCAUACCAGCCUUAAGGGGUUGCUUUUCUAUUGUCUUCCCCUUUUCAUCUUUGGGCUUAGAAGGUGUCACCCCUAAGAUGCCUUGACCUUGGUCUUUCUUUGGAUAAGAGUGAGAGCCAUAAGAUUUUGAAGUAGACUUCCAUUUAAGUUGUUGCUCUACCCUUAUUUCCCAAUCUAAGUUAGCCUCUACAUUGUCCUUCCCAUGGAAGUAUGAGAGGUUAAUGUUAGCCUCUUGAGGCUUUCUUUCCUUUUCUCUCUUAUGGGAGUGAGGUCUAAGAUGUGACCUAUGCCUUCCUUCAUAAUAGUCACGAAGUUCUUCACUUAGGCUCUUGCAAGAGUUAUGACUACUAUAGGAGGCAUGUUUUUCUUUUCUUAACUCUUUGAGUAUUUUCCUUCUUUCUUCUUCCCUUAUUUUCUCUUUUUCAUCUUGACUUAUUUCUUCCACUCUUUUUUUCCCUUUUUCUUUUCUCUCUUUUUUUUCUUUCCACAACUUAAAGGAUCUCAACUCAUAUAAUAUCUUAUACAAGGGGUCCUUAGGAGUAGAACCCUCACCAUUAACACUAGAUGAAGAAUGAAGACUCAUGUUGGUUCCUAAGUUAUGGUUCUUUCUUGUUGGGGGUUUGAAAACAAAAGGUAAAAGAAACUAUGGUUGAAACUAGCCAAAAUAAACACUAAAAGAGGUGUGAAAGAUAAGGUAAAAACUAAUCGGUAAAAGGCAAGCUACCUAGGCGGUUUGACAAUGGAGAGUAAAGGAAAUAACCUAUGAAAGUAAGCAAGAAAUUGAAGUGCAAGAAAUGCAAACUAGGCGGAUCCUAAGAGUGUUUGGAUGACCUCAUUUAAGGUUCCCAACAAAACACUCACUAUCCUAAGAGAAAAUUGCCUAAAAUUAUUACACACAAAUGGAAGUAGGGUGACCUAUUGGAGGCUCCCAACUUACUUCCAAUGAAAGGCCUUUUUGUUACAAAAUUUGAAACCAAAGCAAAUUGCCAAUUACAAAAUUACAAAAAAAAGUCCUUAAUUGUGGUGGCUAUUCUCUCUUUGGUGUUUCACUCAAUUUGGAGUGCUUCUUAGUCCAAUAGUUCUUAAGGUGGUUGGCCCCUUGCUUCUUGACUCAAAUUCUUCAAGGUAUGGCAUCAAUCCUCCUUUCCAAUUCCCUAUAUGGCAACUCACAACCAAGGAAACAAAGAGACAAGCAAUAACCAAAGACCAAGAAAUAUGAAAUGAAAGCUAAACCAAUAGAGUUUUAACAAGACAAAUUUCAAAGGAUUAUUCAACAAUUAAAGCAAUGAAAAGCACAAAAAAGCAAGCUAGGACUCAAAGAGAAACCUAGAAUGGCUCUAGAGUAGAGUAGAAAAACUAAAAAGAAAAAAGACUCAAGAAACCUCUAGUUUUGGCACUUGUUUUCAAAAUAAUUUUCAAUUGAAAUUUCAGAACUAGGAUUGGUAUAAAAUAUGCACCAAUUAUAGAGCAAAUUUUGAGCCAAAACAACAAACACACUUUCCUUUCACUUUUGUUUUCCUGGACACUGAUUUUUCUGCCAACUUGUGCGAUUUUUAAUAUUUUUUCCUUUAAUCCAAAUCGCUUGGUUAUUUUUUUAUAAUUUUUUUCCAGAUGUCUAGAAAAUUCAGUAAAAUUUUCAGCUCCAAAAACGUAGUGGGCAAUUCCCAGUAAUUUAUGAAAGUUUGUAUGUUCAAGCUGCCAGCACCAGCGAUUUCAACCUAGAAAUGAAGAGUAGUGUUUAUGUUGCUUAAGGCUUGGAUAGUUACAAUUUGUGUUUGCUUAUGCUCAAUUAUCUUGAAUAACACAAUUCAAGAGAGCUUAAGACUUAUUUUGAUUCACAAAUCCAGCCACAACUCAGCACCACAACUCAACUUCAUCAUAGGCAUCAUGUAGGAAACUUAGAAAACAAAAAAAAGUUCAAGAACAAGACUACUUCUAGGAAUUGAUUUAGAACAUGUUAUGAACUAAAUAACAUGCAUGAAUUAGACUCAAAAUUCAAAAGAUAGGCUAAGAAUGACAAGAAUACAUGAACAAAUGUAUCUAGAAUUCAAUCAACAAAAUAAAAAUUCAACACAAACUUAGAACAUAAUGUGACAAUUACUAUGACUAAACAUGACUCUAAGACAACAUGGAUUAAGUGAUUUACACUUAGAUUUUUGUGUUUUUUUUUCUAAUCAAUAUUUUGGAAGAAAAUUUAGAUCUAAGGUUUAGCACAAGAAUAUUAUGAAUGAAAAAUGAUAGAACCUAAAAUCAACACAAAAACAUGAUUCAAGAGUAGAUCUACAAAAUUUGAACCAUAGCAAUGCAAGAACAAGUGUAGAUCUAAGAUUUAAUCGAUUUAUUUAUUAUUAUUUUUUGAAUCUACUCUAAACAGCACCAAACCACAAGACAAUGGAGGAUAUACAUGGAGAAUAAGAUGAAGAACAAGGAAUUAAAGAGAAUUCACCGAAAAAAAAGAUAGAGGAAGCAAAAGAACAUCACCUAGAUGAAGAUGCUCUUGAUACCACAUGAUGCAAGCUCCAUUGGAGCUUGUAGGCCUAGGAUCUUCUUCAUCAAUGAAUUACUUUGCUUCUUGGAAGAUGAAUGGCAGCGGAAUGGAGAAAGGAAGAGAGAGAGAGGAGACGCCACUUCAAGAAGAAGAUGAGUCUAGAAGAAGCUCACCACCAUAGGAGGCCAUGGAUAAGAGCUUGGAGGAAGAAGAAGAUGAAUGAAGGGAGAGGGAGAGAAGAGCACGAAAUUUUGUGCUCUAAAUGAGCUUUGAAAUCUGAAGUUUAAUAUUCAAAUGAUCAAAGUUGAAAAAAAUGCACACACAUGACCUCUAUUUAUAGCCCUUAGUCACACAAAAUUGGAGGGAAAUUCAAAUUUCACUUGAAUUUGAAAUUGAAUUUGUGGAGCCAAACUUUGGAGCCAAAAUUUCACUAAUUAUGAUUAGUGAAUUUUAGUUAUGGUUCAGCCCACUAAUCCAAGAUCAAUUCCAAGAUUCUCCACUAAGUGUGCUUAGGUGUCAUGAGGCAUGAAAAGCAUGAAGGACAUGCACAAAGUGUGACUAUAUGAUGUGGCAAUGGGGUGUAGUAAGCAAAUGCUCACCUCCCCCUCUAAAAUUUAAUUGGAUUGGGCUUCUACCAAUUCAAUUAAAUUUAUUUCCAACCACACACAUCAAAUAUCCACUUAGUGCAUGUGAAAUUACAAAACUACCCCUAAUACAAACACUAGUCUAGGUGCCCUAAAAUAUAAGGGCUGAAAAAUCCUAUAUUUCUAGGGUACCCUACCUACAUUGUGGAGCCCUAAAUACAAGGCCCAAAAAUAAUGAAACCUUAAUCUAAUAUUUACAAAGAUAAGUGGGCUCGUACUUAGCCCAUGGGCCCGAAAUCUACCCUAAGGCUCAUAAGAACCCUAGGGCCUUCUCUUGCAUCUCUGGCCCAAUCUCCUUGGAGUUUUCUAUCCAAUGCCCUUGCGGGGUAGGAUUGCAUCAGAAAGAGAAUAGACUCUUUCACAAGAAAUCUAACUAUACAUGUAACCAUACAAUGCGUCCCAUAGCGGCUACGCAUACUCAAAAAUGUCUUUUUCAAAGAAUUUCCUCUCUGGCAAUCGAUUACCAAAGUAUGUAAUCGAUUACCAGUGCCCAAAAAUGAAUUACACAGCCUUUGCACAUUGGAACCUAAAAGUUACACUGUGUAAUCUAUUACACAUAAAUGGUAAUCGAUUACUAGUAGCAGGUAGCACUAUGGAAUCGAUUACACACAAUUGAUAAUCGAUUACCAGAAGCCAUUUAACAUCCCGCCUCAAUUUUUAACCCUUGUAAUCGAUUACCCAUGAAUGGUAAUCGAUUACCAGAGGGUAUUUUUUAGAUAACACCCAAGAUAAAUAUCUGGCCAGCCGCCACACAAACCUCCUUGCUUCGUGGACUUUAUUCUUUUAUUGGUUGACUUCCAGGAGCUCGCCUACUUAGGUACGUCACAGGUUCUCACUGACUGACUAUGCCCGGGUUGGGUCGGGAUUAGCCAAGCUUGGUUUAGGGCAAUAGCACCCCACCUGACGUCCCCAAGGUCUCCUGACCCCAGUGACAUAUCUCCAGGUACCACUCUGUGGUCAACAAAUAAAAGUAGGAAGACUGACUCUUUCACGCUUUCUCACCUCAAGCUUAUUGGAUUAUGGGGCACCCGUCAUAUGUGGUACUAGGUGGUGAUCAGGCGAUGGCACAAAUCAAUUCUCCCAUUUCCACAAGUCAGGCAUAAACACACCAUCCCCAGUUGCCCACCUUUACAUUGAGCUCACGCACUCCUACGUAUCCCUUAUCCUCGUUCCUCUCAGCACCGGGUCCCCAUCAACCCUUCCAAGCUUUCACAAUAUCCAAACAAUUCAAUUUCAUUUGUCAUGAAACUACCCUAAACCAAGAAAACAGAUUGGAGGCAGAAAACUCUGCACAAAACUCAUUCAAAUUCCACAGUUUUUCCUACUCACAUACCCCAGUAACAUUCUCUUUGUUCUGAUUCGUUAACCGUUGGAUCGCCUUGAAAAUUUAACUGGAUGUUCUUAAUACAUAAAUCUAAAUUUUGACCGUUGGGAUCUACUAGAAAAUAUCUAUAACACGAGUUUUACUGCCUUUCCCGUGACCAGCACUGCACCACUAUUUUUCUGCAUAAUAGGCAAAAUUUACUACACAAAUUUGACAACUUUUGCUGCACAAUUUGACAGAUUUCGAAUUUUAGCUUGCUUGUGUCCAAUUUCACUCAAAUUGGAUCCUACAAGUCCUAAACCAUGUCCAAAUCAUGUUCAAAACAAAAACAAACUUCAAACCAAGGUAAAUCAAAAUAUAGGUAUCCAAAACCCACCAAUUUAGUGCAUUUUCAAGGUUUGAAAGGUGAAAAUGAAAAUUUGGUAAUUUUGGGUUAAACUCUCAUCUUUAUCAAGUCUAUAACAUUGAUUUAGACUUGCUCAAACUGGUUUUAAGGUGAAAUCUCCACCUAUUCCAAAUUUGGCCUCUCAACACCCAAUUUACCCUAGAAAUGGUUCUUACCUUCCACAUUUGUCAUUCAUUUUUCUCAUUUGCUCUGACCAAGCUCUCCUACAAGUCCUAAUUGACAUUUUAAACAAGAAUCAACUCACUUUAGACUCCAAUUUCCACUAACCCCAAAUUUGGCUUUUCUAACCCUCACAAUUUCACACUUUUCCACCUACAACACUACCAUUCUCACAUUUGACUCUAAGUUAGCUCUCCUCAUCAUCUCUACCAGUUUUCUAUCAACAUUUUAAGCAUACACAUAUCACAAAGCAUCAUUAUAAAACCCCAAAUCAGAAUGGGUAGUUUUGCUCACAUCAAACAUGUCAAGUUUAGCAUGAUUUCAACAAAUUCCUUCACAAAUAACUACCCUAAGGCAAUAAUCUAGUAGCACUACCCAUUAUAGCUCCCAAAAACCCAACACCCACAAAUUUCAAGUGAGAAGAAGUCCACCCUUACCUGAAAUUUGAAG